rnacentral:rRNA from 1 species
UUGCACGCUGGCGGCAGGCCUCACACAUGCAAGUCGAACGGUAACAGGAAGAAGCUUGCUUCUUUGCUGACGAGUGGCGGACGGGUGAGUAAUGUCUGGGAAACUGCCUGAUGGAGGGGGAUAACUACUGGAAACGGUAGCUAAUACCGCAUAAUGUCGCAAGACCAAAGAGGGGGACCUUCGGGCCUCUUGCCAUCGGAUGUGCCCAGAUGGGAUUAGCUAGUAGGUGGGGUAACGGCUCACCUAGGCGACGAUCCCUAGCUGGUCUGAGAGGAUGACCAGCCACACUGGAACUGAGACACGGUCCAGACUCCUACGGGAGGCAGCAGUGGGGAAUAUUGCACAAUGGGCGCAAGCCUGAUGCAGCUAUGCCGCGUGUAUGAAGAAGGCCUUCGGGUUGUAAAGUACUUUCAGCGGGGAGGAAGGGAGUAAAGUUAAUACCUUUGCUCAUUGACGUUACCCGCAGAAGAAGCACCGGCUAACCCCGUG